AUCCUGUAGAAAUGAUGGACCUAAGGUGU
rnacentral:piRNA from 1 species